GACGAACGCUGGCGGCGUGCCUAAUACAUGCAAGUCGAGCGAACUUAUGAGAGCUUGCUCUCAUAAGUUAGCGGCGGACGGGUGAGUAACACGUGGGCAACCUGCCUAUAAGACUGGGAUAACUUCGGGAAACCGGAGCUAAUACCAGAUAAUUCUUUUCUACACAUGUAGGAAAGCUGAAAGACGGUUUACGCUGUCACUUAUAGAUGGGCCCGCGGCGCAUAGCUAGUUGGUGAGGUAACGGCUCACCAAGGCCACGAUGCGUAGCGACCUGAGAGGGUGAUCGGCCACACUGGGACUGAGACACGGCCCAGACUCCUACGGGAGCAGCAGUA
rnacentral:rRNA from 1 species